AUUGAACGCUGGCGGAAUGCUUUACACAUGCAAGUCGAACGGCAGCACGGGGGCAGCCCUGGUGGCGAGUGGCGAACGGGUGAGUAAUACAUCGGAACGUGCCCGGUCGUGGGGGAUAACGUAGCGAAAGUUACGCUAAUACCGCAUACGAUCUGAGGAUGAAAGCGGGGGACCUUCGGGCCUCGCGCGAUCGGAGCGGCCGAUGUCAGAUUAGGUAGUUGGUGGGGUAAAGGCCUACCAAGCCGACGAUCUGUAGCUGGUCUGAGAGGACGACCAGCCACACUGGGACUGAGACACGGCCCAGACUCCUACGGGAGGCAGCAGUGGGGAAUUUUGGACAAAGGGCGCAAGCCUGAUCCAGCCAUUCCGCGUGCAGGACGAAGGCCUUCGGGUUGUAAACUGCUUUUGUACGGAACGAAAAGGCUCUGGCUAAUACCUGGGGCUCAUGACGGUACCGUAAGGAUAAGCACCGGCUAACUACGUG
rnacentral:rRNA from 1 species